rnacentral:rRNA from 1 species
GACGAACGCUGGCGGCGUGCCUAAUACAUGCAAGUAGAACGCACAGUUUAUACCGUAGCUUGCUACACCAUAGACUGUGAGUUGCGAACGGGUGAGUAACGCGUAGGUAACCUGCCUGGUAGCGGGGGAUAACUAUUGGAAACGAUAGCUAAUACCGCAUAAUAUUAAUUAUUGCAUGAUAAUUAAUUGAAAGGUGCAAUUGCACCACUACCAGAUGGACCUGCGUUGUAUUAGCUAGUAGGUGAGGUAACGGCUCACCUAGGCGACGAUACAUAGCCGACCUGAGAGGGGGAACGGCCAAAAUGGGACUGAGACACGGCCCAGACUCCUACGGGAGGCAGCAGUAGGGAAUCGUCGGCAAUGGACGAAAGUCUGAACGAGCAACGCCGCGUGAGUGAAGAAGGUUUUCGGAUCGUAAAGCUCUGUUGUAGGAGAAGAACGGGUGUGAGAGUGGAAAGUUCACACUGUGACGGUAUCUUAACAGAAAGGGACGGCUAACUACGUG